GACGAACGCUGGCGGCGUGCUUAACACAUGCAAGUCGAACGGAAAGGCCCUGCUUUUGUGGGGUGCUCGAGUGGCGAACGGGUGAGUAACACGUGAGUAACCUGCCCUUGACUUUGGGAUAACUUCAGGAAACUGGGGCUAAUACCGGAUAGGAGCUCCUGCUGCAUGGUGGGGGUUGGAAAGUUUCGGCGGUUGGGGAUGGACUCGCGGCUUAUCAGCUUGUUGGUGGGGUAGUGGCUUACCAAGGCUUGGACGGGUAGCCGGCCUGAGAGGGUGACCGGCCACAUUGGUACUGAGAUACGGACCAGACUCCUACGGGAGGCAGCAGUGGGGAAUAUUGCACAAUGGGCGGAAGCCUGAUGCAGCAGCGCCGCGUGCGGGAUGACGGCCUUCGGGUUGUAAACCGCUUUCGCCUGUGACGAAGCGUGAGUGACGGUAAUGGGUAAAGAAGCACCGGCUAACUACGUG
rnacentral:rRNA from 1 species